UACAGAGGAGCCAAGCGUUGUCCGGAUUGACUGGGCGUAAAGCGCACGCAGGCGGAUGCGCGCGUGGGGUGUGAAAUCUGGCCGCUUAACGGCCAGGCGCCAUCCCAUACGGCGCGUCUGGAGUGAUGCAGAGGUCGGUGAAAUUGCCGGUGUAGUGGUGAAAUGCGUAGAGAUCGGCAGGAACACCCAGGGGGAAACCAGCCGACUGGGCAUC
rnacentral:rRNA from 1 species